rnacentral:rRNA from 1 species
CAGUAGCCACGGUAAUACGGAGGGUGCAAGCGUUAAUCGGAAUUACUGGGCGUAAAGCGCACGCAGGCGGUCUGUCAAGUCAGAUGUGAAAUCCCCGGGCUUAACCUGGGAACUGCAUUUGAAACUGGCAGGCUAGAGUCUUGUAGAGGGGGGUAGAAUUCCAGGUGUAGCGGUGAAAUGCGUAGAGAUCUGGAGGAAUACCGGUGGCGAAGGCGGCCCCCUGGACAAAGACUGACGCUCAGGUGCGAAAGCGUGGGGAGCAAACAGGAUUAGAUACCCGGGUAGUCCCUGUCUCUUAUAC